AUUGAACGCUGGCGGCAGGCCUAACACAUGCGAGUCGAGCGGAUGAAGGGAGCUUGCUCCUGGAUUCAGCGGCGGACGGGCGAGUAAUGCCUAGGAAUCUGCCUGGUAUUGGGGGAUAACGUCCGGAAACGGGCGCUAAUACCGCAUACGUCCUGAGGGAGAAAGUGGGGGAUCUUCGGACCUCACGCUAUCAGAUGAGCCUAGGUCGGAUUAGCUAGUUGGUGGGGUAAAGGCCUACCAAGGCGACGAUCCGUAACUGGUCUGAGAGGAUGAUCAGUCACACUGGAACUGAGACACGGUCCAGACUCCUACGGGAGGCAGCAGUGGGGAAUAUUGGACAAUGGGCGAAAGCCUGAUCCAGCCAUGCCGCGUGUGUGAAGAAGGUCUUCGGAUUGUAAAGCACUUUAAGUUGGGAGGAAGGGCAGUAAGUUAAUACCUUGCUGUUUUGACGUUACCAACAGAAUAAGCACCGGCUAACUUCGUG
rnacentral:rRNA from 1 species